AGGACUGUGCUUCAUAAGAUCAUUUGUAUAGGCAAGUUUUCAUUUCUUCUGAAUCAACAGUAGUGCUAAUUUAAGCACGAUGAUGAGCGGUAGUGGCUGUCCUGGAGCGUGAAACUGUCGGAUAUCGGCUUCGUAUCCAAAGUAUUGUAUAUUUUCAUUAAAGGAUAUUAAUCAUAGAGUU
rnacentral:snoRNA from 2 species